CAGUCGCCGCGGUAAUACGUAGGUGGCAAGCGUUGUCCGGAAUUAUUGGGCGUAAAGGGCUCGCAGGCGGUUCCUUAAGUCUGAUGUGAAAGCCCCCGGCUCAACCGGGGAGGGUCAUUGGAAACUGGGAAACUUGAGUGCAGAAGAGGAGAGUGGAAUUCCACGUGUAGCGGUGAAAUGCGUAGAGAUGUGGAGGAACACCAGUGGCGAAGGCGACUCUCUGGUCUGUAACUGACGCUGAGGAGCGAAAGCGUGGGGAGCGAACAGGAUUAGAUACCCCUGUAGUCCCUGUCUCUUAUAC
rnacentral:rRNA from 1 species